CCUAUCCAAAAUUCAAGUGGAAACACUGGCAAGUCUUAUUUUAUUUAAUUAUAUGUAUUUCUACUCUUAAAUGCACAACUCCAAAUAAUGCAAAUUAGAAACUCCUUUCUAAUUUCAUUCUGCCUUGGCCAAGGACUACUGGGUUGUCAUUUAUCGAAUCACAUAGGACAUUUCUCUUCUUUUACUAGAAGUGGUAGAUUCUUUAUUGAUCAUACAUUAUCUUCAUGCAACUUAUUAUACCCAAGCAUACCCUUUGAUAUACCCUAAGGGUCUUAAGGAAUAAGUCAAAG
rnacentral:lncRNA from 1 species